AAGUCGUAACAAGGUAACCGUAGGUGAACCUGCGGUUGGAUCAUUAGUAAUUCAAGAGGUACUUUAUUGUAUCUUUUUGGCUGGCACCACUUGCCGUCUGUGCUGGCGUGUACUCUGUCUCUAGUCCUUUUGGGCAAUGGGCGGUAAUAGCGUUAGGGCUUACGGUGGGAGGGGCUUGCUGAUAAAACACACUGUGCACUGUAAUUGUAUUUUGGGGAAGUUAUCGGCGGCUACAGAAAAUUGGCAACCUGCAUAAUGCGCUGUGUCAUGAAGACCGCUAGCAUGUCUUACGGCUUUCCCUGCCCAAACCAUAAACCCAAACCAACGUAUUUAAACAUCAUAUGACUUAUACUUAUUUUUUAUAAAAUAAUACAACUUUUGACAACGGAUCUCUUGGCUCUC
rnacentral:misc_RNA from 1 species